CAAGGCUUGUCUGUGCAACUCAGCAGAAUCCAAAGUAUUAUGGAAAGCACUUGCCUCUCCUGGCCAGCGGUAUCCCAGAGCUGCAGUACUGUUCGCUCUCCGUCUACAAUGAGAGUUUUCAUUUGAAAAUCAACUCCUGAAAAGGAAUAUAAGAGAACAUGGAGAACACGAUGUAAAUAAUUCCAUUGGUUUUUACUUUCAAGCCCUCUUUAGGAUGAGACAAAAGCCAAUAAGCCAAAGUUCGGCAAGACAGAGAGGAAUGAACCUGGCCUUCAAGGACAGUGACCUUCCAUACUAAUUAUAAGUCAGACCACACAAGUGCGUGCAGAUGCUUAUUGCAGGUUGGCUGACUUGGGGAAGGAUUUAAUCUAUGGACAAAAGGAAAAUCUAUGUUUUAUGUGUCCACAUAAUUAGAUGGACUCAGUUAUAUCUGUGUGUGUGCAUGCACAUAAAUGUGCCUAUGUAUAUGUAUAUAUACAGGUAUAUACAUGUGUGUAUGUAUAUAUAUAUAUAAGUACAUGUAUACGAUGUAUAUAUAUGCCAGGCUCUCUAGGAACCGAACCAAAUAUUGUAGGCUUUUUAUGAAUCAAAUUGAAGCGAACCUUCAGCUUUGUUAUCUUGAAAGGUGUAACGGAGAACCAUAAAUUUAGAAAGACAUCCAUUGUGAAGAAGGUAAUCUGUUCUAAGGUUUCUGGUUAUCAAAAUAAGAACUCUUUAGAUAAGGAAGAAAAGUAAAUGAUAAUUUGCAUAUCUUCUUUCAAUUCCUUUUACUGAUUACUGUGCAAAUUUGGGAAAUGAGGACACUAUUUCUUCCUUGUUCUGAGAGGUAUUACUCAUGUAUUCCGUUGUGAAGGAGGGGAGGGAACAUACACCUGGCUAUGAUUUUGACCUUAAUGACAAACUGCCUAUCGGUAAGCUCACUUUAUCAACAUCAAAUGACACCUGAUCAGAAAGGCUUUCCCUGGGCACCCUGUGUAAAAGUGCACCUCUCCCAAAUCUCAUGUUUUAAAAUGUGUUUUUCAUCCAGGGAUUUAGUCGACUUUGUUUACUGUGUAUCCAUAGUGCCUAUAACAGAAUGUGGCUCACAGCAGGACUCAGGAUAUGCUUGCUGAAUAAAUGAAUCUGUCAUCUCUGGCUCUAAACUUUGGUUGAUCUCACUGGAUAUAUAUCCAGAAAGUGGAAUUGCUGGGUCAUAUGGAGAUGGAGCCAAAGAAUAUUCCUAUGAUUUAUAUUAAAGAGUGUUCUGCCUACAUUUUCCUCUACGUGUUUUAUGGUAUCUGAUCUUACACUUAGAUUUUUAAUCCAUUUUGAGUUUAUUUUUGCAUACAUUGUUAGAGAAUGUUCUAAUUUCAUUCUUUUACAUGUAGCUGUCUAGUUUUCCCAGGACUGG